AGAUACGCGCAGAACCUUGCCAACACUUGACANGUUCGUCGCGACUCUAAGAGAUUAGAGUUUUCGGUUCGGCCGGACGAAACACAGGUGCUGCAUGGCUGUCGUCAGCUCGUGUCGUGAGAUGUUGGGUUAAGUCCCGCAACGAGCGCAACCCUCACUUUUAGUUGCCAUCAUUAAGUUGGGCACUCUGAAAGAACUGCCAGUGAUAAGCUGGAGGAAGGUGGGGAUGACGUCAAGUCCUCAUGGCCCUUACGUGUUGGGCUACACACGUGCUACAAUGGCAUCUACAACAGGAAGCAAAACGGCAACGUUAAGCAAAUCCCGAAAAGAUGCCUCAGUUCGGAUUGCACUCUGCAACUCGAGUGCAUGAAGCUGGAAUUACUAGUAAUCGUGGAUCAGCGUGCCACGGUGAAUGCGUUCCCGGGUCUUGUACNACACCGCCCGUCACACCAUGGGNAGUUGGUUCUACCNUNANGNNANGNUNUAAACCCUUGACCACG
rnacentral:rRNA from 1 species